UAAGAACACUAUGGCGUUUGUUCAAAGUGCCUGAAUGUGUCCUGCUACGUUUACAAGACAAUACGAGGGUUUUCAACUAUUGAAUUCAAAGAGGGAGGGGGACAAAGUUUUAGACAUCAACACAAGCCGAUUCAGAUUCCAGGUAGUGGCUCGAGUCUCAUAGCACAGAGGUGGUUCUAUUAACUACGAGGCUGUCGCAUGUCCGCCACGGCAAUUUAACAUCAGGUUCAGACCCUGUCGAGUCGCUCGAGCAGCUCACUUCUGGCUUUUCUGAUCGUCUCCAACGUGACGUUUGCUUCUCGAGUGAAACUGCCGCAAAGUGAGACGACGGCUCGGUUGAGUAUCGGUCAGAGUCAACGACUUCUUCAGUGUAACUCACGCGGUUCGGUCCUCGUCUCAGUGAGUCAGUGUGUUUUCCUUCCCACGGUCUCUUCCUUCCUCGCCUCGCCUCGGUUCAAACGAGAAAGCUGGGGCUUUUCGUUUCGCUGUCGCCGCCGGUAGUUUUCUUCACCCAGCCAUUAGGAAGUUCAUGCGGCUUCUGCUCUGCUGCUGUUGUAUUCCGAGCCCAUCCCCCAUCCACACACACUGGUGUUCUCUCACACACACACACACGCGCGCACACACAUACACACACAGAGUUGGGACGUUGGGUUUUUUCUUUUUUCUUUUUCCACCUUCGGUUUCAACGCUUUUGUAUUUAAAAGCAAAACAACAACCCGUUCCCCUUUUUGCAGUCGUAAUGGAAGUAAGGGCUCGCACUUUCCGCUUAUUCUCCUCUUUCCAUGGCUGUCUGUCCGGGUCUGUCCGCGACCAGCGGGGCAGGGAGGGAGUUUGAACCGGGGGAACACAACAGCGGUUUGCCCGCCUUACCGUUGGCUCCACACUUCAGCCUGCCCGCACAAGCGCCGCCCCCGAGCCGGAAUACUUCCUGGGGAGGAGCCAAUCAGGCGCGCUGCCCUCAUCGCAGGCGGUCCGCCGGAGCUUGUCACGCGCCACACCGGAGGAGGUAUGUCGGUUAUCGCGAUGACUUCAGGUGUAACUCUGGGUGUUUUCCGUUGGAAGAAGCCGCUGUUCUUCUUAUCCGGGCUCACCGCUCAGGUCAGCCGGCCCUCCUGCCAGGAUGAAGGAGACGAAGAUGCCUUCUCCGUCCUCCCCACCGACGAUGUUGAAGCCCAGGCCCGUGGAGCCUUUGUGCAGCAACACCUUCCUCGGCUCCCUGCCAAAACAGAGUGACAGUGUCAGGGUGAAGGGCAAGACGAGGAGGGCAAAAGGAGAAGAGAUGAGCAGAUAGAGAGGCACAAACAGAUGUGUACACAGAGGAUGUUUCAGACAACAGCCGUCUUCUGCUAUUUGAUCCCAAAACGUUGAGUGCAUUCAGCAUAGGCAGGUACACGCAGGCCUACAGCAGCAGAAACACCCCAACACCCACAUGUAAAGCCUGUUGAGCUCUCAUUAUUUACCAAUGUGGCAAAACUAUUUUUUUCAUUUCACAAUUAACACUCACACCCACAUAAAUCAGCAAAGUGUUAAUCUAUUUAAAGUAAGGGAAAACUAUAUUUUUCAGUUUUAUUUUCAUAAUAAAGUUGCGCUAUCUUCUUUAGCUUAAGAUGGACAAUAAUAAAACAAGGUCAGAGCUGUUAUCAUUACACCACCGAUAAACCUACAGGACACUAUGAACUGGUAGAAACAAUGAUUACAGAAAAAACAAUUAUGCAAUAAUCAUGUUGCCAAUAAAGAUAUUUUGGAUUACUUUGA